rnacentral:rRNA from 1 species
GAUGAACGCUGGCGGCGUGCCUAAUACAUGCAAGUCGAGCGAACGGACGACAAGCUUGCUUCUCUGAUGUUAGCGGCGGACGGGUGAGUAACACGUGGAUAACCUACCUAUAAGACUGGGAUAACUUCGGGAAACCGGAGCUAAUACCGGAUAAUAUUUUGAACCGCAUGGUUCAAAAGUGAAAGACGGUCUUGCUGUCACUUAUAGAUGGAUCCGCGCUGCAUUAGCUAGUUGGUAAGGUAACGGCUUACCAAGGCAACGAUGCAUAGCCGACCUGAGAGGGUGAUCGGCCACACUGGAACUGAGACACGGUCCAGACUCCUACGGGAGGCAGCAGUAGGGAAUCUUCCGCAAUGGGCGAAAGCCUGACGGAGCAACGCCGCGUGAGUGAUGAAGGUCUUCGGAUCGUAAAACUCUGUUAUUAGGGAAGAACAUAUGUGUAAGUAACUGUGCACAUCUUGACGGUACCUAAUCAGAAAGCCACGGCUAACUACGUG